ensembl:snRNA U6 U6 spliceosomal RNA
GUGCUCGCUUGGGCAGCACAUGUACAAAAAUUGGAACAAUAUAGAGAUGAUUAGCAUGGUCCCUGAGCAAGGAUGACACUCAAAUCCAUGAAACGUUUCAUAUUUUU